UUAUCUCAACUCAAAUUCUUUAAUCACUACGUUUUUUAUUCGUUUAUCUAAAAGUUUGAACGGUUUACGAUCAAAACAAGAUUUCGAAAAAAACUGGCCGAUGUCUAUUAAUUAAUCGUACAUAUCACAACUAUAAAUCUGUCUACAUUUGUUGUAUUCAUUCAUUUGCCUGUAAGUAACAUAAUACACUGCAUUUGAGCUAAUUCUUACUAUUGUUGACAAAAAAAAAAAAAAAAAAAAAACAUAAUACACUGCAUGAUACUCAAAAACCAUAUCCCAGAAGUUGC
rnacentral:lncRNA from 1 species